GCGGAGGAAAAGAAACCAACAGGGAUUGCCCUAGUAACGGCGAGUGAAGCGGCAACAGCUCAAAUUUGAAAUCUGGCGUCUUUGGCGUCCGAGUUGUAAUUUGCAGAGGGCGCUUUGGCAUUGGCAGCGGUCCAAGUUCCUUGGAACAGGACGUCACAGAGGGUGAGAAUCCCGUACGUGGUCGCUAGCCUUUACCGUGUAAAGCCCCUUCGACGAGUCGAGUUGUUUGGGAAUGCAGCUCUAAAUGGGAGGUAAAUUUCUUCUAAAGCUAAAUACUGGCCAGAGACCGAUAGCGCACAAGUAGAGUGAUCGAAAGAUGAAAAGCACUUUGGAAAGAGAGUUAAAAAGCACGUGAAAUUGUUGAAAGGGAAGCGCUUGCAGCCAGACUUGCCUGUAGUUGCUCAUCCGGGUUUUUACCCGGUGCACUCUUCUACGGGCAGGCCAGCAUCAGUUUGGGCGGUUGGAUAAAGGUCUCUGUCACGUACCUCCUCUCGGGGAGAUCUUAUAGGGGAGACGACAUGCAACCAGCCUGGACUGAGGUC
rnacentral:rRNA from 1 species